AAGAUGAAAACGUUCUAGAGAUCUGUUGCACAACACUGAUAAAUUGAUUGUACCUCAAAGCAUCAAGAGCCAUAUUGGAGAAAGAUGUUCCUCAAAUCAGGGCUUUCGCAGCCUCCAGCAACAGCCGUCCGAUUCCAGUCUUUGAAACUGUCCAACACCUGGUAUAUUGCACCCUGCGGUUCAUUCUCCUCUCCUACUUCGUUCCAGUUCACCACCGGUGACAAUUUGCCCAAUUGCGCCAUACGAGCAUGCCAGGGGUCACCGGUACUCUGCAAACCACCAAUGACAGCGUCUUCAUGGUCAGGCAACCGGCGGGUGA